CCCUUAGAUGUUCUGGGCCGCACGCGCGCUACACUGUUCGACGCAGCGAGUCUUAACCUUGACCGAAAGGUUUGGGUAAUCUUCAGCAAAGUCGAACGUGAUGGGGAUCGAUCAUUGCAAUUAUUGAUCGUGAACGAGGAAUUCCUAGUAAGUGCAAGUCAUCAGCUUGCGCUGAUUACGUCCCUGCCCUUUGUACACACCGCCCGCCGCUACUACCGAUUGAAUGGUUUAGUGAGAUCUCUGGAUUGACGCUGGCUAGGGGGCGACCCUUGGCCAGACUGCUCGAGAAACUGCUCAAACUUGAUCAUUUAGAGGAAGUAAAAGUCGUAACA
rnacentral:rRNA from 1 species